AAGAAACCUAGUGCUUUCAAAAAAAUGGGAUCAAGUUCCAAGUUCACAGUAGCAGCCAUUGCAAACGCCUGAAGGAAAAAAAGAGAAAGUAAUCUAGAAGACAAUGCACAAUUAUCUAUGUUAAAGUUUUACUUUUCUGUUUUUUAAUUUGUAAUAGAUAAUACUGUACACAUGAUAUAAAAUUUAAAAUCACCAAAAAGUUAUUACAAAUAAAAGUAAAUUUCCUUCUUAUUCCUGACAGGCAUUAUCUAGUUCCUUCCCCCUGAAACAACUAGCAGUAUCAGUUUUCUGUGUAUCCAUAUCGAUGGUAACGUUUUAAAUCCAGUAUACCCCAUCAUCCCCAGAUGAAACCGUCUAGCUGCAGGAAAGCAAGCUCAAGGUUCCCACUGAUUCUACAUUAUGAAUGUAAGUUCCAUGAAGGCAGGCAGUGGAUUGGUCUUGCCUACUGUUGUAACCCCUGUCUGGCAGAGUUCCUGGAAAACAGCAAAUAACUGUAAA